GUACCGAAGUUGCGGAUUCAUGCAUAAGCAUGAGUGGUAGGGGAGCGUUCUAACAGCGGAGAAGGUUUACCGGAAGGAGAGCUGGAGCGGUUAGAAGUGAGAAUGCCGGUGUGAGUAGCGCAAGCUGGGUGAGAAUCCCGGCCACCGUUUGCCUAAGGGUUCCUGGGGAAGGUUCGUCCUCCCAGGGUUAGUCGGGUCCUAAGACGAGGCUGAAAAGCGUAGCCGAUGGACAACAGGUUUAUAUUCCUGUACUAUCUGUAUAACUGAAGGAAUGACGAAGAAGGCUAUGGAGAUCCAGUUAAUGGAUUCUGGUCUAAGCACAAAGGUUUAUAAAAAAGGAAAUCUGUUUAUAGAGCAACUGAAGUGUGAUGGGGAAGGAGUUAGAGAUAACUCCGAACUUUCCAGACGCCAAGCUUCCAAGAAAAGUUUCUAGGGCUAAUUAUACAGGUACCCGUACCGAGAACCGACACAGGUGGGCAAGGAGAGUAUCCUAAGGUGAGCGAGAGAACUAUGGUUAAGGAACUCGGCAAAAUGACCCCGUAACUUCGGGAUAAGGGGUGGUCAAGCGAUUGACCCGCAGUAAAGAGGCCCAGGCAACUGUUUACCAAAAACACAGGUUUCUGCAAAAGCGCAAGCUGAAGUAUAGGAGCUGACGCCUGCCCAGUGCUGGAAGGUUAAUAGGAGAGCUUAGAUGUGACGAAAGUCGAUAGCAUCGAAGGUUCGAAUUGAAGCCCCAGUGAACGGCGGCCGUAACUAUAACGGUCCUAAGGUAGCGAAAUUCCUUGUCAGGUAAGUUCUGACCCGCACGAAAGGCGUAAUGAUCUGGGUACUGUCUCAACCAUAGACUCGGUGAAAUCUUAUUACCUGUGAAAAUGCAGGUUACCCGCGACUGGACGGAAAGACCCCAUGGAGCUUUACUAUAGCUUGAUAUUGAGGUUUGGUAAGUUAUGUAGAGAAUAGGUGGGAGACUGAGAGAUAUCGGCGCCAGCUGAUAAGGAGUCAGCAAUGGAAUACCACCCUUAACUUAUUGAACUUCUAACCUAGGUCCAUAAUCUGGAUCAGGGACAGUGUCUGGUGGGUAGUUUGACUGGGGCGGUCGCCUC
rnacentral:rRNA from 1 species